ACCUUCCAACGGAGAUGUAUACGUCACAUUGAAUGUUAAUUUCGUAGUGUUGGUUCUCCAACUACUAUAAAACGACGGUUUUGUGGUUCCCUUGUUUCAGAUUGAAAUCUAACUAAACAACAGGGUCCGUCCGCCGAUGAUGGAACUCGUUAGUCCCGCUCCGCUAUGGCGCUCUUCAAAGUCGUGCGGGGUGUUCAGCCUAGGGUGGAAGUCUCGGGUGGAAGCAGUAGCAGAAGGAGGUCGCUAGCCGUGAACCUGUAGUGGAAGGAGGUUAUCAAC
rnacentral:rRNA from 1 species